ACCUGGCUGGCUCAGUCAGUGGACCAUGUGACUCUUGAUUUCAGGGUUAUGAGUUCAAACCCCAUGCUGGGUA
rnacentral:tRNA from 1 species